UACGUAGGUGACCAGCGUUGUCCGGAUUUACUGGGCGUAAAGCGCGCGCAGGCGGUCGUUCAAGUCGAGUGUGAAAGCCCCCGGCUCAACUGGGGAGGGUCAUUCGAUACUGAUCGACUCGAAGGCAGGAGAGGGAAGUGGAAUUCCCGGUGUAGUGGUGAAAUGCGUAGAUAUCGGGAGGAACACCAGUGGCGAAGGCGACUUCCUGGCCUGUUCUUGACGCUGAGGCGCGAAAGCUAGGGGAGCAAACGGG
rnacentral:rRNA from 1 species